GUGUUCAAUGAUGAUUCUGAUUCCUGUGCCUGAUUUCCUUUUGGGUAAUGAAGGCAUCUUCAGUCACUACCUCUUCUGAGACAC
ensembl:snoRNA